CUCGACUAUCUUUCGUCUCCAUCAUCAGACUUUAAUGGCACUUGUAACUCAUAUAGGUGCAAAGUUCACAUCAAUAGAAACGAAUUAAGUUCAAACAGCAGGUAAUUGCUAUAAGUCGUUAAAGAGUACCCUCGACUAUCUUUCGUCUCCAUCAUCAGACUGAAAUGGCACUUAUAACUCAUAUACAUGCAAAGUUCUGAUCAAUAGAAACGAAUUAAAUUCAAACAGCAGGUAAUUGCUAUAAAUUGUUGAAGAGUUCCCUCGACUAUCUUUCUUCUCCA
rnacentral:misc_RNA from 1 species